rnacentral:rRNA from 1 species
AGCAGCCGCGGUAAUUCCAGCUCCAAUAGCGUAUAUUAAAGUUGCUGCAGUUAAAAAGCUCGUAGUUGAAUUUCGGGACUAAUAUGUCGGUCGUGCCUCGGUACGUACUGGCAUUGUUGGUUUCUUCCUUCUGACGAACCAUGAUGUCAUUUAUUUGGUGUCGUGGGAAAUCAGGACUGUUACUUUGAAAAAAUUAGAGUGUUUAAAGCAGGCUCACGCUUGAAUACAUUAGCAUGAAAUAAUGAAAUAGGACGUUUGAUUCUAUUUUGUUGGUUUCUAGGAUCGACGUAAUGAUUAAUAGGGAUAGUUGGGGGCAUUAGUAUUCAAUUGUCAGAGGUGAAAUUCUUGGAUUUAUUGAAGACUAACUACUGCGAAAGCAUUUGCCAAGGAUGUUUUCAUUAAUCAAGAACGAAAGUUAGGGGAUCGAAGACGAUCAGAUACCGUCGUAGUCUUAACCAUAAACUAUGCCGACUAGGGAUCGGAUGAUGUUAAUUUUUAAUGACUCAUUCG